CGUCAUCGCGGCGGUGACCUGAAGUCGUGAGGUUUUCAGUAAGACGACGAGCUUCUUGAUUAACACUUUUCCCAUUGGGAACUAUGGAACAAAGGUGCGGCUUUAUUGGUGAGGGGCAGUUAUUCCAUUUUCUGUGCAGGGUGGAGCGUUGUUCCGUGUCACGUGAGAAAACGGCUUUCUAGCUCGCUGAUGAUGGUCCCAGCCGACCCAGCACAUUGCUGGGAUCGGGUACGUCGCUGAAGAUGUGCAGCAAAUGUGUACCACCGGAGAUGUGAAUUCGAACCCUUUCUCAGAUCAAGAUCAUCAUUUGCGACUACCUUCAUUGCUAAUUGUGGGUUUAGCUUCAGAAACGUCGAGGUUAGUUUGACCUCAAGAAACGUGCUGUAACGGACAUUUCAAGGAGCUCCAAAGUUAUGUUUCAUUCUCAGUGGCCCUUCACCCCCCGUAGCACUGCAAGGGCGUGAUUGAUUUCAGAAGAGGGGUGAAAGACUCACUGACGUGUGGUUUUUUCCGUACUGUGCGGAAGUCAGUGGACUCCCGUAUUUGGGGACUAGCAACGCUGGUGUUCUGUGUGCAUCGAUAGAGCAUUAGCACAUUUGCCAUACACCACACAUCCUUUUAACGACGGCUCGUUUUGAGCCCGAGGGAAAUGCUGUUCGGUGGCGAAUCAGGUCAGCUUCCACCGGUGGUGCUUUCUUACGGCACAAACGCCAAUAGUUGUGUCAAAUCAUCGGAAGCGAGAUACGAUUCGACAGUGCGAUGUAAAUGAACCGCAGUUUUCUUAAAUAGUGUGCAUCCUCUUCAGGGCAGUCCCCAUCCUAGUAACUCUCAAAUACAAGACAAGCAUGAAACGUUACUGUCUGGUGGUGGCAGGGUAAGAAUCAAGAAGCGUAUGGCCGAAGCUGUUGUGUGUCUUCUGCCAAAGGCGGCUCGGGAGUCCCCAGUUCUGUGCCUGCGAUUCUUUUCACGUUCUUUCCGAGAACCAUGUGUGGUGCCGUUCUCGUGCAUCUCCUGUUCGGCCAGGCGGUCGUGCGGAAUCAGUCUACGAAAGCUGCUGCCAAGAGACUCCAACAGGUAGACGAACAAGAAGCGGAUGCUGUCGGGAGGGAAGAGAUCGUCUCGGAGCAGCCUUGGUCUGCGAUAGCAGUAACGGAUGUCAAUUCCUUGGAGCGUCGUUUGUUUUUUGAAGAAAUGGUGGAGAGGUCGAUCCCCUCCCCUGAACUGGCGGGUUUGCCGACGAGGAUACCCGGUGGCCAAGUGUUUCUCCCAGAGCUGUCCCAGUCACGUCCAGCGCAGUCCAGAUGGGCGCGAACGACCAUUUCGGUAUUCGCUGCAUUAGAAUUCCCUUGCAGCGGUUUUUCACAGGCACGUGCGGGCACAAGGAUACAAGUCUGCGUUGCCAAGUUGCUGCCUUGCAAGUCUUUUCCGGAGUAGUUCGCUGUCGAGACUAUCUUUCGCACGCGAGACAUAAAGCUGAGCGAUAUGAACAAACGUGGUUUCCGCCUGACAUGGUGGCGUACGUCGAGUUGCAGAGAUCAUCGUAUGGCGAGCCUGUGAGGUGAAGGCGCGGCUGUUUGAGUCACCUGCCACCCGUUCUAUCUGUGGAUGCUACUUACGGCAUGCGUGUUUCCUGGCUGGGCGUCCACGGAAGUCGCACACGCAUCGUGUUGUUUGUGAUGUCGCCGUUGCUAGUUAGCUCUGUGUGCGGAAUUUCGUAUAGUUGGACUAUGUAAUGUAGAGGCACGUGAACGCUGUGGUGAGGAGAUUUGGAUGUGGCAGGUAGGUACAUUGUGUUUGAUCGUCGCCGCACUACUUCAGUCAGCAGCCCAGCCAUGUCGACCAUGAAAAUGGGUAUUAGAAUGAUGCGAGAAGAAGCCUUAGAGACAGACAGAGUAAGUGCAUCGGGAAAUGCGCGUUGGCUCUCGAGUCCUGGCAAGUGUUCUGGUUCCGCAGGCAAUUGACAGUGGGGCUAGAAUAUGCGUCACGACAGUUUUCCGUUGCACAAAAAGGGCGUUCAUUUUGUCCGACGGGAGGGCGGACUCGUGCGUCAUACAGUGUAUAGAAUGCUGGCACCGGGGAACCUUCUGGUUUUGUUCUGAACUGGCGUUUGACUUCUUAGUGAGAAGUCGUGCAGCGACAAACGUGGCGUGUUGUAAGAGUGGUCAACGGAACCGAAGCAACAGCAGCAGAGGGAAGUGGUAGUCGGGAGGGACAGUACGCGUUGGGUAUAUGUAGCUGCUUAUGACUUUGGGCAUGAGGAAACGGACACACUCGGGGAAAGUCUUCUCACACGCACAAGCGGCGGCGUUGGGUGGUUGCUGCUGCUCACACAUGCACGCUCGCGCACGCCGCGUUUAGAAAACGCAUUUUGACAAACCGUCCUGCGCUAUUGCUUCUUUUUGAGGAGGUAAUUCCUGAGCUAACAGCGUGGCUGACAGAUUCCUGUCGGACGCGUGAACUGUCAUUUUCAAAUGCAUUGCAUCAAGAAAUGAGUCAAAUUUCUGAACGCUUGGAAAGUUGUCCCGAGUGAUUUCCAGUCUAGC
rnacentral:lncRNA from 1 species